rnacentral:rRNA from 1 species
GAUGAACGCUGACAGAAUGCUUAACACAUGCAAGUCGAUUCAAUUUACCUUCGGGUAAUGAGGAUGGCGGACGGGUGAGUAACGCGUAAGGAACUUGCCUCUUGGUCUGGGACAACUGUUGGAAACGACAGCUAAUACCGGAUAUUAUGAGAUUCUCGCAUGGGAAACUUAUGAAAGCUAUAUGCGCCAAGAGAGAGCCUUGCGUUCCAUUAGCUAGUUGGUGGGGUAACGGCCCACCAAGGCGACGAUGGAUAGCCGGCCUGAGAGGGUGAACGGCCAAAAGGGGACGGAGACACGGCCCUUACUCUUACGGGAGGCAGCAGUGGGGAAUAUUGGACAAUGGGCCAAAAGCCUGAUCCAGCAAUUCUGUGUGCACGAUGAAGGUCUUCGGAUUGUAAAGUGCUUUCAGUUGGGAAGAAGAAAGUGACGGUACCAACAGAAGAAGCGACGGCUAAAUACGUGCCAGCAGCCGCCGUAACAC